rnacentral:tRNA from 1 species
AAUGGAAUGGCUGAAUUUUAAGCGAUAAAUUGUAAAUUUAUUUAUGAUAAUUUUUAUCUUCCAUUA